AUGAACUGUGAACUCGGGGCGUCCUGUGAAGUGCAGGCAUUUUGGAGUGCCACAGCAGAUCUGGAUGUAAGCAUAAACACAGCUUUCAAAGCGAAAGCAGGGGCCCCGAGGAAGGAAUUACCCUCAUCUCAUUCCCGACCUGCUCACUGUGCUGGAAAACAAAGACAAGUCCCGCCUGCACUUUGGGAUCCUUUGUGUCCUGCCCAGUGGUGCCGAUCUCCUGAACAAAUGCCUCCUGAGGAUUUCUGUGUCUGGAAAAUAUCUGUCAACAGAUUGCAUUUACGUCCCUGUUUCGCACAGCUUUGUGCAGCAGGUACUGUUGUUACCCAGAUGCGACAGGUGAGGAGGACGGAGGCCCAGGGCCAAGGCGGUGCGGGGAGCUAGCUAGUUGCAGAGCUUGACACCCGAUCAAGAAGCCUACACGGCCCCUCCCACCCCGCUGCCUGGCAGAAAUGGGAACCGCAGAAGGAGAAACGGCUGGGCUGUAUUUUGGAGACCGUAUUUUAGCCCUGUCAUAAUCGCAUGCAGGAUCUGUUGGACUCGCCCAACGUGCUCUUCUAACUUGAGCUUCCUUGAGAUAAAUGAGAAAACAAAGCUUCCGAGAAUGUGUGACUUGCUCCAGGCCACACUGCAAGUCAGAAAUGUGGCCUAAGGUCCCGGCCCGCCGCGCCCCCCGCAACCCCCCGGGCCCUGCAGUGCUAGCCAGGUCUUUUGCGUUUCCAAGUGUUCUCCUGCCUGUUGGUGGGCUGUUUGGUGCUACUUCUGCUAAUCGGGACCAGCGCUGGUUUGACUGAUUUGCUCAUGUGCUCGUUGAUGAAACCCUGAAACUUGGAGCCAGUGUGUGCUCAGAGGUCCAGGCGGCCAUGGAAGAUGAGCCGGGGCAGCGUCUGUAAAGCACUGAGCAGGAAAGAAUCGUGGCUAAAAGCCAGGGCUUGGAAUCGGGCAAAUUGGGGUUUGGAUUUGCCAUUCAUAAGCUUUGUGACCAAGAGCAAGUCACGUGCCCUCUCUAAAUCUCUGUUCCCUCACCUGGAAAAGGGAGAUACCAUCAGCCUCGUUCGGUGGUUGCGAAUGUUGAGAAAAUGCACAGAAAGCACAAAGUGUGGUGCUUGGCACAGAGGAGGUGUUCCAAAAAUGGGAAGCUAUCAUUUUUCAGAAUGCCUUCCCAUCUACUUCUGAGGUUAUUUCGGCCUUUACCCUGGAAAGGCACUCCAGAGUUCUCACCCAUCUUAUAAAAUGAUAAAUAUGUGUGUAGUGCUUUAAAAAUCGACUGUUUCCAUGUACUGAAUUCCCUAUGACCCUCAUAACCACUCCAGCAUACGAAAGCAUAUCUCCAUUCUCUAGCUCAGGAUACCGAGGCUCAGAAAAAUUCAAGGAUUGCCCAAGACCCCAUCGUUCAUAAACAGCACAGCCAGGACUUCAGCCUAGAACCACAGCCCCAGAUCCUGCCUGCACCACUCACUUGUCUGCUUCUUGCAAGAAAGCAUUCUUUAAAGGCACGCAAGUCAACAAGAGAAUGACUUAGAACUGAAUGACCCAGAUACACCUUUCCAGUCUGGCCUAAGUCCUCAAGUUAGGACUGUCGUGUCCUGAUGUCCACAACAUUUUGAAGCCGCAUUCUUAAAGAAGUGUCCUAGGCAGAUACAGUCUUCUUGUGCAAUCCUCGAGCCUCCGGGGAGGUUCUCUUAAUCCAGCUUGCUCAUGCAAGAAUGGACUGGCAUUCCACUUGAGUGAAAACAAUGUGCUUGCUCGGUUCCGUUUUUGCCACACAGGAGCUCGCGGUGCGGUUUACGGAUUCAUGUUUCAGGCUCCAACUUUCCUAUCAGAUUUGGAAGGAAAAAUACAAAGGGGCAAGCUUGCUCAAAAACAGCAUGAAGUAUGCUGGUACAGACUGGAUUUUGAAAUGGAGACCCAUUCUCAGGGCCUGUGGGCCAAGAGAUGCCAAGGAAGGAUUUUUGUUCUUGAAAGGUGAUUAUGUUAAUGCUAGAGAUGGAGGGUUGAACAAUUCUAGGGGUGUGUUCUGUGUGUGAGAAAGAACUGGCCAAAAAAUAACACUCCUUUCAAAAGGUACAGGACCUUAAAAUUGUUGAUAGUUAAAAUAGAAACACCCCGAGUUACAGAAAUUCAGCCCUCCCUGCAUCCUGGCCUAAAAAUACAGAGCAAUCAGGUUGAUUGUUGGAGAUUGGAGGACAUGGAGGAAUGGAAGCCUGUCCUGUUCAUAGACAGCUGUCCUUCCUGGUCGUUGAAUGUCGCUGAAAGACUCAACAAAGUAAGCAGAUACUUCUUCACCCAAGUUAAGGAGCCGGUCGCUGUCAUCCUGUUUUCACUGUGCACGUACUGGAAGGAGAAUGAAGGAGCCCAUUGAUUUAUCAACUUACUCAUUUUCAUCUCCUACGAGGGAACAGUGUGACUUUUCCCCCGAGUUAUUUGGGUCACCAGUCUCCUCACGUAGACUUAUUUUCAAGAAACUGGCCUCGUGCUUUAGAAGACGAUGUGAAAACAGAGGCCUGAACUCAAGACCUCUACUUCAGCGUGUUCUCAGUCAUUUUUGAGUCACCAGCUCGGUACCUCAGUUUCUCCCCAAGGGCUUAAAAACUGCAGAGAAGUAUGCUCAAGUUCUGUCUGCUGAAAACACCUUGUCAGACCGCUCACAGGAAGAGAAAGAGCUGGAGGCAAGAGAGCAUAUCCACCUUCGCUCUUCUGCUGAGUGUUUUGAAAAGCAGGCAUAAGGUAGAAUGCAGAAAAUGUACGGUAUCUGUUUCCGCUAAGGGAGCCAAACCCAAUGGUUGUGUGUGGAGUACAUAUGUGUAUGUAUGAGUGUGACGUGCAUUUGAGGUGAGAGAUAUGUAUGAUCUUAUCAGGCAUAAGUAAAAGGAAGAAAUUCAUGCUUUAGGAAAAAUUGUCCCCAUAACUGAAGUGCCAGUCACUUGAAAAACACUUCUAACUGGUAGUAGGCAAAAGUUGUGACUAGUCAUUUGUAAAAAAAAAAAUAAUAAUAAUAAUAAUAGUAAUCAGACCUUUCUGUUUGGAUUUUGGAUUUUUUAAACUGAUGAGAAUAAUCUGACUGCACCUUGCACUCUUCGGUACUGAUCUUAUGAAUUAUAAUAGCACACACAGAGGGAUGCGGUGGAUCCCUAAAUGAGUCACAAAAUUCAAGAAAUAGUUAUUGAAGGGUUGCAGGGAUUCUUCUGUCUUGGGACUUUUUUAAGUUUAAAUGCUUGAAUUGACUGGUUGAAACAGGUUGAAACGGGUGACUGUCACUUCACAGAGUAGAUGCAUUCCUUCACAGUCAGUGGGCUAUUGCAUCUUUGCUGCGGUGAUUGCUCCACAUCCUUGUAAGCCCGUGGUGUCAUUCCCUUACUUACUGAGGAUGAGAAAACCAGCCCAGGAACAGGAGCAUCCUGAGCAUCCUGUUCAGUGGAUGCUUUUCCCUAAAGGAGGAGUUUGUGUUGGGAUCUCCUUAGGAAGAGAUAACCGGCCUUACCUGUAAGGGGUAAGAACGUUGGUCAGAUCUAAGCCAAGCCCCCUGCCCCUCCUGACUUGGCACCUGCUGAACCCACUUGAAACCAUCAACCAUAGGCACAUUGUAAUUGGCUGCUUUUCCCAUACUCAUCGCAGAUGACAAAUGAGGAUGAUGCAUGAGGAAAGUCAAAAGGAGAAGCUUGAAGGUUGGUGAAUUUAUUUAAGCCAAGAAAACAGACUCAGCUAAUGGUGCCACCAGGAUUAGAACCCAUCUUCACAAGGCGAUGCUGUCAUGAUAAAACCAAAGAAAGGUGUGGGGAGCAUUUUAGGUUAAAAAGAGUCUGAGUGAGUGAACCCUGAUGGGAUCUGGGCUGAUGGGAAAAGUUGCAUAUGGCCUGGGUACUAAAGGAUACUAAAAAUUGUUCAUUUUCUUAGGUAUGGUAAAGGUAUUAUAAUUAUGUAGAAGAAUGACUUCGUGUUUUUAGACCUGCUCAACAAGUUAGGAGCAGAGUGUUGGGAUGGUUGUCAACUUACUUUCAAACAAUCCGGCAAAGAAAUAUGCACAGUUCUUACAUACAUGUAGCAUAGCUAAAGCAAAAAUGGCAAAAAUGAACAGUUGAUGAAUUCAGGAAGUCAUUUUAUUGUCAUUCUAAUUUAAUGUAUGUCUGAAACUUUUCAUAACAGUUUAAAAAAAAAAAAAGAAUGCCUAUCCUGUUAGGUGGCCCGUGGCCUGGAUGCAUGAAGUAUCUUCUUGGGUUCUUAGAACACUGAGGGGAUGACAACAGUCUUCCUAAUAAAAGGAUACAAGGAACCAUAGUGGGAAGGAGAAAACCAGCAAAAAAUAAUCUGCCAAGGAAAAUUGAGAGGUCAAAGCCUGACUUCUGGGUUGUAGGGGAGGAGAAUCUUAAGUAAAGCUAACAGAAAUCUUUAACUCAUAGGUGUGAUUGAAGGAAUUCCGUUCUGGCAAAAAACCUUAGGACCAUUGACUGUGACUUUGCCUCUGAGCUAGUCCGUUGUCCUGCUUUUGAAUCAAAACUAUCCCAAAGAGAAAGUAAGGUUUAGGAAAGUGUUUUCUCCAGCUUCUCCCAGAGCACCCGUUUAUUGUGUGCGCUUUCUAUGUACACGGUCAGGUUCAUCAUCAGCACCACGUCCUUGAGAUCCUGCCCCUGGAUACUUUGAUGCCAGGAGGGGCUCUGCUUCUUCACCCAAGUAAAGGCUCACCCUUGACUUCCCAUCAGGAGUAAAGGGGUUGACGUGUGCCACUGCCUCUGAGUGACAAAACGGAGCCUGCAUCUGGGCAGGCCAGGCAUAAAGAGUCACAGGCGUGUCCCCCGACCCCCAACCACAGAUUUGGUGGUAACAGUGUAUGCGUACGUGGUUCACGAAAGCUCUUUUCAGACCACAGAGUGAAAUGGCCACAGCCACAUUUCAACUUUUUCCUUUCUAGGUUGUCUUGAGCCUGUUAGAGCAUUCUGAAGGAAAAGUAGAUGAUAAAGCUUCUCCAGGAAGCUGGUUUCAUAUGGUGGUUUAGA
ensembl:lncRNA